UACGUAGGGGGGCUAGCGUUGUCCGGAAUCAUUGGGCGUAAAGAGCGUGUAGGCGGCCCGGUAAGUCCGCUGUAAAAAGUCAAAGGCUCAACCUUUGAAUGUCAGUGGAUACUGCCGGGCUAGAGUCCGGAAGAGGCGAGUGGAACUCCUGGUGUAGCGGUGGAAUGCGCAGAUAUCAGGAAGAACACCAACGGCGAAGGCAGCUCGCUAGGACGGUACUGACGCUGAGACGCGAAAAGCGUGGGGGAGCGAACAGG
rnacentral:rRNA from 1 species